CGAAAGCCUGUCUCAGUUCGGAUUGGAGGCUGAAACCCGCCUCCAUGAAGUUGGAUUCGCUAGUAAUCGCGCAUCAGCCAUGGCGCGGUGAAUACGUUCCCGGGCCUUGUACACACCGCCCGUCAAGCCAUGGGAGCCGGGGGUGCCUGAAGUUCGUGACCGCAAGGAGCGACCUAGGGCAAAACUGGUGACUGGGGCUAAGUCGUAACAAGGUACC
rnacentral:rRNA from 1 species